rnacentral:lncRNA from 1 species
AGGGCUUUUUUCCCCUCUGCUCCUCCUCCAGCGGCACAAUGUGAUCCACUGGCAAGGAAGGACUCCAAUAAGGUGUCAGAUAAGUUCCAGGUCACAGUACAUCAUUGAUGGAAGUCAAGGGAGGAACUCAAACAGGAAAUUGGAGAAGAAGCCAUGGAAGAAUGCUUCUUGCUAGUUCAUCUUCAAGUUUAUGCUUAGCUAUCUUCCCAAUAUAUCCUAGGUCACCUACCUACCUAUGGUACUAUCCAUGACAAUCCAAGACUUUCUACAUUAAUUAAUUAUCAAGACAAUCCUCCACAGAUAUACCCACGGGUCAAUAUAAUCUGGGGAAUCUUUCAUUUGAGACUCCUUUCUCUAUGUUGUGUCCAAUUGACAAUUAGAGAUAACUAGGACACCAAAAUAUAAACUGGUUUUGGUGAAUGGAUUUGUUUAUUUAUUUUGUGACAUGGUCUCAGGUAAACCAGGCUGGAUUCUAACUUUCUCUGUUAAUCAGGAUGACCUUGAAUUUCUUGUACCACUAUUUCUAUAGCCUUAGUCCUUAUCUGCCAACAGAAUGCCUGGUUAAUAAGGUAAUAGAAAUCAAACACAGGGCUUCAUGCAUGCUAUGUAGAUACUCUACUGAGUUAUAUGCCUAUUUAUAUACCCAAGUUCUGCAAAAAAAUUUAAAAGUUGUUUGAUUUUUUGUUUUGUUUUUAUGAAAUAUAACAAAAUGAAUGAAAAUACUCAUACAAUGAUUAUAUGGUAGAAUUUUUAACAUGUGUACACCUAUGUGAUUAGCACACAAAGCAAUAAGCAGAACA